AACGAACGCUGGCGGCAGGCUUAACACAUGCAAGUCGAACGCCCCGCAAGGGGAGUGGCCGACGGGUGAGUAACGCGUGGGAACAUACCCUUUUCUACGGAAUAGCUCUGGGAAACUGGAAUUAAUACCGUAUACGCCCUACGGGGGAAAGAUUUAUCGGGGAAGGAUUGGCCCGCGUUGGAUUAGCUAGUUGGUGGGGUAAAGGCCUACCAAGGCGACGAUCCAUAGCUGGUCUGAGAGGAUGAUCAGCCACAUUGGGACUGAGACACGGCCCAAACUCCUACGGGAGGCAGCAGUGGGGAAUAUUGGACAAUGGGCGCAAGCCUAAUCCAGCCAUGCCGCGUGAGUGAUGAAGGCCUUAGGGUUGUAAAGCUCUUUCACCGAGGAAGAUAAUGACGGUAGUCGGAGAAGAAGCCCCGGCUAACUUCGUG
rnacentral:rRNA from 1 species